rnacentral:lncRNA from 1 species
GGAACUUCGGGGGUCUCGGGGCCCGUGAGCGGAUCUAGCUACUACUUCCCCUAGGUUCUCCUCGGGCUUCAGUCCCUAAGAGUCUGGACUCCGGACUGCCGCACAGAAUCCUUCUUGCCCGGAGCGGUAUUAUUGAGGUCUUUGCGUUCUGCCCCGCCCUGUCCCGCCGGCUUGGGUGCUUGGUUUCUAACCCGAGUAUACUCGGAGUCUCUGGUCCUGCGCGCCCCCCUCCUCCCGGGAGAGCCCCGUAUCUGGCUGCGGGUCAAUUUAUGACUCAAACAUGAGAUAAGCCCUAGGCAGACGGUGACGCUGACUUCCCCGUGGGGGCGCGGGGAGAGAAGGAUGAGGCAGACGUACCCCCUCCCUGGCCUGGCCCUGUCCGGGGCCGCGUCGGGGUGUGGAGGGGCGACUCCCUUCCUCCGGGAGCCCCGACUCGCUCUCUCCCAGCGCGCCUCCCCUGCGCCCGUAAAGCUCGGCCCUGCCGGAGCCCCGGGACCCGUCUGUUUUAUUUCACUUAAAGCGAUCUGCAAAGUCAAGGCCGGGUGAGGUGCGGCGCGGGAGAGGAGAGGAUAUGAACGGACGUGGAACGAAGUUCUGUCUGCCAACUCCCUCCGUCUGAUUCUUGGAAUCCGGUGGCAUCUUAAAGGACGGAAUUGAGGGCAAGGAGAAGAUUAUUAAUCCCCGAAGCCCGCUCUGUCUAUAUAUAACUGCUCAGUGGUUACAGUUGGCGAUCGCAGGGUGGGGGUUGGGGGUGUAGACCGUGGGCCAUGGAACACGUGGCAUCUCUCCAGGGCAUAAAAAUCAAUCUAGCUGGUGGCUCCUAUGGAGUUUGUAAAUUGCGCAGAGCUGGCUGGGGGAAGCCAGUGAGCUGUCCAUGGUGGUUAAGGCUCGUUGAUGUGCGUCCUCGGGCUGUCCUGGUGAGGCACAGACCCCCCUACCCCAGGGGCCGCAACGCCCCAGAGCCCCAGCCUGCCAGCGAUCCAGCCGGUGUGCGCCCGACACGAGGCUGGACGUGUGUUUGCACAACUCCAGGACGCGCUCUUGCACAGAGGCCGAAUUCCAGAGAUAGACGGAAAAAUCUCCCGAUUCCAAAUUGUGGGUUUCCUUUUAGUUCCUUCCUGAACGUGUCUUUCCCCACUCAGGCAACGUUUCACAUGCUUUAAGAAACGUCCAUCCAUUUUAGUAGCCUCUCUCCUUUUCCUUUGCUAAGGUUCUGUUCUCUAAAGAGAGAGAAGCAAGUUGAUGAUCUUGUUAGGCUUCUGUUUGUUAAAAGCAUCCACCAGCAUUUGCACCAUGUGGGAUGUCCCCAACACCUGCUUUCAUUGAGUGGGGAAACUGCUGCCAGGAGAUUGUCCGGUAUCUCAGGAAAAUUGGACAGUUUCUUCUCUAGGAGUGGUGAAGCCCUUUGUAGCAUAUUGUUCAGUGGGGCGACUUCAUUAAUCACCAUUGUCCUGAGCAGUGUGUCUGAUCGCCACUCCUAGCAAAGGAGAAAACAAAUGCUAUGGGAGUUUCCUUGUAGGUACAGUUUUGCCCAGUUCUUGUGACAUAUUCUUAUGAAAAAACAUUUACAAAGGUAAGCUUCUAUACAUGUUUAAGGCAAUUAAAUUAUCUCCACAUUUUACUUUUUUGUCUCUUAAUUUAUCCUGGCAAUUUUCUCCUUACUUAACUUGGAUAGAGAUCUCAUCUUCAACUGAAUAACGAAUUACCUCAAAUACUACAAAAGACUGCAAAAUAUUAUAAACAUUUAUAACUCAUUUGUAUUACACACCUUUAUUUAUGGGAAUAUAUUUAAUAAACAUCCAACACAUAAGAGAAUCUUUUACUUAUUUCUGUACAAGAUAUCAGAUUGCUGCUUUUACCCUUCCUUCUAAUUGUGGUGUGGCAAAUUAACAAAAGGGUGUGUGUGGGCGUACUUAUAAAUAACUUUUAGAAUAUUUGACAUUCAAUAGAAAAUAUUAGGAUUCAAUAAUUUUUAAUAGCUUUUUUCCUCUCUCAGCUUCUGGGUCUAAGUAUAAACAUUGUCCGUGGGGAAAAUGAAAUAUUUCUAUAAAUUCUUCUAAAUGUUUUCCCAAGUCAAUAAAAUCGAUAUAAUGUAUUUUACUUUCCUUCUCUCUAUUUACAAAAAUUAAGGAAAUAAGAUUUGAAUGUGUACCCAGGUUUUGAAAAGCAAGAAAUAAACCAUCAUCGUAAUAUUGUAUUAUUAUUUUGAAAUGUGGGAGUUUAGUUUUGUUCCGUGACUCUUUGGUAGCUGGCCUUCUGUGCAUCUCUU